AAUAAUUUUUUUUCAGCCAGGUGGGGUGGCUCAUGCCUGUAACCCCAGCAAUUUGGGAGGCUGAGUCGGGGUGAUCACAAGGUCAGGAGUUCGAGACCAGCCUGGCCAAUAUGGUGAAACCUCAUCUCUACUAAAAGUACAAAAAUUAGCCAGGCGUGGUGGUGGACGGCUGUAGUCCCAGUUGCUUGGGAGGCGAGGCAGGAGAAUCACUUGAACCCGGGAAGCAGAGGUUGCAGUGAGCCUAGAUUGUGCCACUGCACUCCAGCCUGGGUGACAGAGCGGGACUCCAUGUCACUUAAAAAAAUAAUAAUAAUAAUUUUUUCCUCUGCUGGUUUAGAGUGAGGCUGGCUGGGGGAGCCUGGGCUCCUCUGUCCUCCCCGAGGUGGCAGUGGCUGAUGUCUGCUCAGGUGUGAGGGGGUGCUGCCAUGCUCUGGGCCUGAGGCUGCCUGGCCCAGCCCCUCCUAACUCCCUGGACUCUUCCAUGGUGUCUUCAGGCCCCUACACCAUCCUUUGUGUAAGGGGAGGUGGCAGCAUAGAGAUGAUGGGGGAACUGCCACAUGUGCCAAGGAAAGCUCACCCAUCUGUGCGAAAUGCUCUGGUUGACAUUGGGUUUUUGUGCACCAAACUGGGCCAUGACCAAGGUUUAUAACCAAGGUGUCUCCGGGCAUGGGCACUUUGCCUCUUGUAGAAACCACCCCACUGGCAGGAGACGGCGGUAGCUGUGGUCAUUGAAAACAAGCUCCUGCUGAUAAAUCUCAGACACCAGACACAGAAGAACCUGGAGACCCUGCCAGAGAGCUUGAGGCAAAUGGAUGGACUGCUGGAGCAGCUGAGGGUGAAGCAGCACAAACUCCUCAAAGUUGAAUAGCAAAGCAGCCACCAGAGAUGGACAAGAAAAAUGAACAAAGAAAAUUAGCAGAAAUCAAAGGCAGAUGCUAAAGCAGUGCAAAAUCAUUCACUCAAUGAUAGAAAUGAAACUGAUGAAGGAGUCUGGGAAAUGAAUGACAGAAGAGAAUAAACAGCAGUGACCAUAGUAAGGUCCUGACGAUUCUGGUCCACUGGAUCCCAUCAUCCCUAGGACAGUAAAUAUCAUCACAGUCACCACCAGCAAGUUACCACCACAGCAUUUCCUGUUUGUUCCAAAAUGAAUAAAGAUGAUUCUCAUCACAAGGGCAAAUACAAAGUAGUUUAGUAUGUUUUUAACUAAACUUCAGGUGUUUGGUUUGCUUUUUCUAAGUUCUCAUAAUUCUGAAAAUGCAGUUGACACUUGUGUGGCUCAUGAUGUUUUUAAUAGUCUAAUGCUACUUGAGUUGUUCAAAAACCACUGUAUUUUAAAUUAAGAUGAAUAAACGGUCCUUUGAAAACUGGCACAAGACAAGGAUGCCCUCUGUCACCACUCCUAUUCAACACAGUAUUGGAAGUUCUGACCAGGGCAAUCAGGCAAGGGAAAGCAAUACAGCGUAUCAAAAUAGGAAGAGAGGAAGUCAAAUUGUCUCUGUUUGCAGAUGACAUGAUUGCAUAUUUAGAAAACCCCAUCUUCUCAGCCCAAAACCUCCUUAAGCUGAUAAGCAACUUCAGCAAAGUCUCAGAAUACAAAAUCAAUGUGCAAAAAAUCACAAGCAUUCCUAUACAUUAAUAACAGACAAACAGAGAGCCAAAUCAUGAGUGAACUCCCACUCACAAUUGCUUGUAAGAGAAUAAAAUACCUAGGAAAAUACAACUUACAAGGGACAUGAAGGACCUCUUCAAGGAGAACUACAAACCACUGCUCAAGGAAAUGAGAAGAGACAAAUGGGAAAGCAUUCCAUGCUAAUGGAUAGGAAGAAUCAAUAUUGUGAAAAUGGCCAUAGUGCCCAAAGUAAUUUUAUAGAUUCAAUGCUAUCCUCAAGCUACCAUUGAUUUUCUUCACAGAAUUGGAAAAAACUACUUUAAACUUCAUAUGGAACCAAAAAAGAGCCUCCACAACCAAGACAAUACUGGGCAAGAAGAAUAAAGCUGGAAACAUCAGGCUACCUGGCUUCAAACUAUACUACAAGGCUACAGGAACCAAAACAGCAUGGUAGUGGUACCAAACAGAUACGUAGACCAGUGGAACAGAACAGAGGCCUCAGAAAUUGAUAUCACUCUGUCACCAUCAAAAAAUACUUAUUUAGUGUCAAAUCCUACUGUGAAAUAGCAGAACUGUGGGAUUCGUAAAGUGGAAAUGCAGAAUUCAAAACAGAUAUAUACCAAUGGAACAGAGCAGAGGCCUCAGAAAUAACACCACACAUCUACAACAAUCUGAUAUUUGACAAACCUGACACACACAAGCAAUGAGAAAAAGAUUCCCUAUUUAAUAAAUGGUAUUGGGAAAACUGGCUAGCCAUAUGUAGAAAAUUGAAACUGGACUCCUUUCUUACCCGUUUUACAAAAAUCAACUCAAGAUGUAUCAAAGACUUAAAUGUAGGACCUAAGACCAUAAAAAUCCUAGAAGAAAACCUGGGCAGUACCAUUCAGGACAUAGGCAUGGGCAAAGGCUUCAUGUCCAAAGCACCAAAAGCAGUGGCAACAAAAGCCAAAAUUGACAAAUGGGAUCUAAUUAAAUAGCUUCUGCACAGCAAAAGAAACUCAUCAGAGUGAACAGGCAACUACAGAAUGGGAGAAAAUUCUUGCAAUCUAGCCAUCUGACAAAAGGCUAAUAUCUAGAAUCUACAAAGAAUUUAAACAGUUUACAAGAAACAAACAAACUGCCCCAUCAAAAAAUGGGCAAAGAUAUGGACAGACACUUCUCAAAAGAAAACAUUUAUGCAGCCAACAGACAUAUGAAAAAAUGCUCAUCACUGGUCAUUAGAGAAAUGCAAAUCAAAACCACAAUGAGAUACCAUGUCACACCCGUUAGAAUGGCGAUCAUUAAAAAGUCAGGAAACAACAGUGCUGGAGUGGAUAUGGAGAAAUAGGAACACUUUUACACUGUUGGGAGUGUAAGUUAGUUCAACCAUUGUGGAAAACAGUGUGGCAAUUCCUCAAGGAUCUAGAACUAGAAAUAACAUUUGACCAAUUCCAUUACCGAGUGUAUACCUAAAGGAUUAUAAAUCAUUCUACGAUAAAGACGCAUGCACACGUCUGUUUAUUGUGGCACUAUUCACAAUAGCAAAGACUUGAAACCAACCCAAAUGUCCAUCAAUGAUAGACUGGAUAAAGAAAAUGUGGCACAUAUACACUGUGGAAUACUGUGCAGGUGUAAAAAAGGAUGAGUUCAUGUCCUUUGCAGGGAUAUGGAUGAAGCUGGAAACCAUCAUUCUCAGCAAACUAGCACAAGAUCAGAAAACCAAACACUGCAUGUUAUCACUCAUAAGUGGGAGUUGAACAGUGAGAACACAUGGACACAGGGAGGUGAACAUCACACACUGGGGCCUGUCAGGUGCUGGGGGGCUAAGGGAGGGAUAACAGGAAAAAUACCUAAUGUAGGUGACGGGUUGAUGGUUGCAGCAAACCACCAUGGCACAUGUGUACAUGUAUGUAAUAAAACUGACGUUCUUCACAUGUAACCCAGAACUUAAAGUAUAAUAAUAAAAAGAAUAAAUAUUUGUUUUAUAUAUUUAAAGCUUAGAAUCACAAAUAAUGCUCCUGUUUAUGAUUUGAAAACUUCAAAGUUUGGUUUUCCUUCUGUACAUACACAAAACAUUGUAUUGUGCUGAAAUAUUUGUUUUUUAAAGUGGCAGUCAUAGUUCCUGUCUGUCUGGAUAUAUAUAUGUAUAUAUGUUAAGCAUAAUAUAAGAAAGAAAUUUCAUUAGCUGGGCAUGGUGGCUCACUCCUCUAAUCCCAGAACCUUGGGAGGCUGAGGUGGGUGGAUUGCCUGAGGUCAGGAGUUUGAGACCAGCCUGGCCAACAUAGUGAAACCUCGUCUCUACUAAAAAUACAAAAAAUUAGCUGGGCAUGGUGGCAGGCACCUGUAAUCCCAGCUACUAGGGAGGCUGAGGCAAGAGAACGGCUUGAACCUGGGAGUCAGAGGUUGACGUGAGCCGAGAUCACACCAUUGCACUCCAGCCUGGUGACAGAGUGAGACUCUGUCUGGAAAAAAAAAAAAAAAAAUUUUAUUUUGUUUUCGGUAAUCUAAGAUUGUUGUACGCAAAAAACUUUACAGAUUAUGGUAGGGUUUAGCAAACUGUGUAUAUAACGUAACAUUAAUAUUGCUAUUUUCUGAUGUCUAACUUUUAGAAAAGAUUUUUUGUUUACAAAUGUCUCCACAAAUUCUGGCUUAUUUUAUAAAAAUAGCAGAAUACUAAAGAAAUGGGUGGUUUGCCACAUUACAUGAAUACUGGUAUUCAAUUAAAAUAGCAAAUAUUUUCCUCAAAAUUUAGACAGAUGAAAUAAUUUCUUGAUUUUUGAGUGCAGUGAUAGACAUUCACAAAUAUUUCAGAAAUCAAAGCUGUAUUAGGUUUUACUUAGUAGUAAUAUGUAGAUAAGAUCAAGGAUCUGUUCAGAAUAUUUUUCAUCAAUAAUUUGGUGCUUUCAAAUACCCAGAAGUCUUGUUUUAAUCAGAUGAAGUCUGAGGAUAGUUUGGUAAUUUUAUUUUUUGUAUGAUGUGUUCACAAUUUUCUAAUUUAACCUAGUAUUGAUUGAUGAUGGGUAAACCAACUUUUUUUUUUAAUCUCAUAGGUUUAUUAUGUUGUUGAAGAUGUUUUUAAUUAAAAUUCUGUCUUUCAAAAUUGUUUACAGAAAUUUAGGUCUAGUUGAAUUUGCUCAACCUGUUAAUCAGUGUCAGCUGCCAGAUUCUAAUUCAUUUUUAGUGUGCCUGUACUUUUCUUUCUCUAAAUUUAUAUUCUCUAUAUUACUUGUUCAAAUGUGAUAUAAUACAGCUCACACAUUUAAAACAAAACCAUGAGGACAAAUUAAUUCUGGCUUAGUAUAAAGAAGCUGUUACCAAAUUAGUGUUACAUAUGCAGAUGGAUGCGGCUCAACAAAAUUUUACACAAAAAAAUUUGAAUUGAACUACACGUGUUGCCAUGACUUAGCCUCUAAUGACCUUGUGAAUAAAGACAAAUUUCAACACAUUUAUUCAUUUGUUUUCAUUAUGUCUAAUGGUAGUAUGUCAAAAAUUCUCAUGCUACUGUCUGAGAAAACAUGUUCUACUUUUACUUAAGAAAUCAACUGAAUGACAUUUUUAUAACCUUGCACCACAUAAGGAAAAACUGCAAUGUAGUCUGCAUGGAAAAGGAUAAUCCAGAAUGCCACUUUCAAUAUUUAAGUAUUUAACCUUUUGGUUGAAAAAUGUAGUAAAAUACAGAUGCCAAGCCGAGACUGGACUGUGCUGCCACCAUCUCGGCUCACUGCAAACUCCCUGCCUGAUUCUUCUGUCUCAGCCUGCCGAGUGCCUGGGAUUGCAGGCGCGUGCCGCCACACCUGACUGGUUUUUGUAUUUUUUGGUGGAGAUGGGGUUUCGCCGUGUUGGCCGGGCUGGUCUCCAGCUCCUGACCGUGAGUGAUCUGCCCGCCUGGGCCUCCCAAGGUGCCGGGAUUGCAGACGGAGUCUCACUCACUCAGUGCUCAAUCUUGCCCAGGCUGGAGUGCAGUGGCGUGAUCUCGGCUCGCUACAACCUCCACCUCCCAGCUGCCUGCCUUGGCCUCCCAAAGUGCGGAGAUUGCAGCCUGUGCCCGGCCGCGAACCCGUCUGGGAAGUGAGGAGCGUCUUUGCCUGGUCAUCCAUCGUCUGGGAUGUGAGGAGCACCUCUUCCCGGCUGCCAUCCCGUCUAGGAAGUGAGUACCGUCUCUGCCCGGCCACCCGUAGUCUGAGAUGUGGGGAGUGCUUCUGCCCCGCUGUCCCGUCUGGGAUGUGAGGAGCGCCUCUGCCCGGCUGCGACCCCGUCUGGGAUCUGAGGAGUGUCUCUGCCCGACCGCCACCCUGUCUGGGAGGUGAGGAGCGUCUCUGCCCGGCCUCCCCAUCUGAGAAGUGAGGAGCCCCUCCGCCCAGCAGCCGCUCCGUCCGGGAGGUGGGGGGCAGCCCCCGCCCCCACCCCGCCAGCCGCCCCGUCCGGGAGGGAGGUAGGGGGGCGCCUCUGCCCGGCCGCCCCGUCUGGGAAGUGAGGAGCCCCUCUGCCCUGCCGCCACCCCGUCUGGGACGUGUACCCAACAGCUUAUUGAGAACGGGCCAUGAUAACGAUGGGGGUUUUUUCGAAUAGAAAAGGGGGAAAUGUGGGGAAAGGAAAGAGAGAUCAGAUUGUUGCUGUGUCUGUGUAGAAAGAAGUAGACAUGGGAGACUCCAUUUUGUUCUGUACUAAGAAAAAUUUUUCUGCCUUGGGAUGCUGUUAAUCUAUAACCUUACCCCCCACCCCGUGCUCUCUGAAACAUGUGCUGUGUCCACUCAGGGUUAAAUGAAUUAAGGGCUGUGCAAGAUGUGCUUUGUUAAACAGAUGCUUGAAGGCAGCAGACUCGUUAAGAGUCAUCACCACUCCCUAAUCUCAAGUACCCAGGGACACGAACACUGCGGAAGGCCGCAGGGUCCUCUGCCUAGGAAAAACACAGACCCUUGUUCACUUGUUUAUCUGCAGACCUUCCCUCCACUAUUGUCCUAUGACCCUGCCAAAUCCCCCUCUCCGAGAAACACCCAAGAAUAAUCAAUAAAUACUAAAAAAAAAAAAAAAAAAAAAAGUAAAAUAGAGCUCUUGGUAAGUUUUGUGUAGCUUAAGAUCAGCAUAAAGUAGGAAAAAAUAUCUUUAAAAAUGUAAAUGGACAAAAACCUACACCAAAAAAACAAACAUACACCAAUGCAUACAUAUUGACUGAAGCUCCAGGGAUGUAAAAUAAUUUCUCCUGGGUACACAGCUAGUGACCCAAAUCAAGCUCAAAUAUGUUUGAUUUUAAAAUUGUCAUUUUCUCACUUUUGACAAUAUUGACAUAACAGGUAAAUCUUUCUCUCAGAGUUGAUAGUUGAAAAUAAACUAAGAUAAGUAUUAUUGAAGCUGGCUAGGUAGCCAAGAAGGUCACCAUGUCCUCAGGAUGCAGCAGCCAUGGCGAUUUCAUGGUGAUAGCAUAUUAUCAACACAAUAAACCCCAACAUUUGCAUUGCGUUUCAGCUCAUUCAAGCAAAGCUCUCUAGUAGGGAUAUUCCCCCAUAAAGAGCAUGCACAUUUUGAUUUUACUUGUCCUCUGACCUUUUACUCACCGUAAUACUAAAAAACACACGUGAGUGGAGUUUUUGCUAAUGAGAUGCUAAUUAGAUAUGUGACAUAUGCUAAUGAGAUAUGUGACAUAUAAACAAGCAUGUACAGCCACUGUGUAUGUGCACCAAGAGGACCACCCAGAACAUGCUAAUAACACCACUUUCUAACUCUUUGUAAAUAAUUAUGUAAGACUCCCAUAAAUGGAGUCUCUCUAUUUCCAGUCUUUGCUGUCUCAUUCUUAUAAGCAGCCCAUCCUGAAUUGCUUUUCUCUCAGGAGUGUUUUGCACCGAACUUUUAAAAUAGUGUUUCUACUUUGCAGUAAAUCCAUCUAGGCUGCAUCCUCAUUUUUUUGUGUCUCGUUUAAAUUUUUGAAACUAAGAACCGAGGUCUCACAACAGCCUUCAGGACGAUUGUGCUUUGCUUUGUUUUCUUAACAUUAUUUUAUGUGAUAUUUCAUAUUUACAUUUUCAACAUAGCCAAAACUGCUAAAUUAAAAACUUAAAUGAUCAUGCUUUUAAAGUGAUUUGUCUUAAAAGCAUGUAUAUUUUUCAAGUUUCAGCUUUAUGUAUUCAAAUUUUUAAAAAAUUCUGACACACAUAUAUCUAUCAAAUUUAAUAUUUUAAAUAAUUUGAAUUCACUUCCAAAAUGAUUUAUAUUCAUUAUUAUAUUUCAUUUUGACCAAAUUUGGCUUUCCAAGCUAAAGAAAUGCUGUGUAGUAAAAUUAAAUAAAGGCUCAUGUUUUUAUCAAUAAUAUUUUAUGUCUGAGGACUUAAGCAUCAAGGACAGAAAUCUGGAUGAUGUUGAGUGAAUAUUUAAAUUGAUAAAGUAGAAAUUAUCAGAAUCAAAUAAGGGAUGGAUACAGAAACAUAGUACUUAAUAAAACCAGGGUAUGUUUGACAAACAAGAUUGCAUAGGAUCUGCACUGCACUACUAAUGUAAAGCAUUCUCUGUAACUUUAUUCUCCACAUACUCAUACACAAAAUGAAUAAGAUUAACUCCUUUUCCUGGAAGGCAGUGAUUCAUCUUUUAUUCUGUUACAUCUGUUCCACAUUGCUGUGAUAAUGCUGUUGAAGUGCACCCCCUUACACCAGAAGAUCACCUGUGUGAAUGUGAAUAGACUGACACUGGAAAGGACCAGCUCAGCACAGUCACUUGAACUGCCCCUUUGCAUUUCAGACAGGUAAAAUGCCUUUGAAGAGUGAAAAUAAAGUUACUGCUGAUUAAGCAGAGAGUUUGACUUGCUGAUCAAUUUGUUCAGAAGCCUCUCUCUUAAUGAGGUAAUUACUGCAUUUAUUUAUUUCAAGAAAAGUAAAAGCCAAAGCCCAGAAUGUGGCAAGGCAAGAGUUGAAAAGAAAAGAACAAGUUUUUCUUUGCCUAGCAAGCUCACUUCAAGGACAGUUAUAAGAUAAUGCUGUUUGAGAAGUUGAAACCAAAGAAAUAGGCUCCAGACACUCCCCUCUGAAGCAAGGGUGAAGGAAACAAAAACAAACAAAUGUCUGUAUUUAGCCAGUUCUUGUUUUUUCUUUCAAUGCAGCUACAAGGCCACCAGCUAUUAAAGGCCACAAGUUAUGCCAAGAAUUCAGUUAUGCUAUAAAUUACAUAAACUGGUCAUUAUAUAAUUAACUGCCUUUGUUUUGCUUCUGUAAGUUUACUUAUUAAAAUCUCACUCAGUCUUUGUUCAAGGCUCAGCUUUUUGGAUGUGAAUUCACUGAGCCAGAGCAUACUUUAAAAUAAAUAUCCUCCUUUAUUGACUCAUUCUGGUCUCUCUAGUCCUCUGUGUCCCACAUUUCUUGGCGAGCCAGCCAGGAGCAGAGACUGUCUCCUUUGCCUUGAAUUCGGGGCUGGAGCCCCGGAUUCAAGGGAAAAUCGGGGCUGGAGCCUUGAUUCAAGGGAAACCUGGGACCCAGGCACCGCCGGGAGAACUUCAGCCCGGAGGGGAAAUCAGCUCUCCCAUGACCCGGCAUCCCUACCCAGCAGUGCAGCGGAGCCUCAGAAGGGCUACAGGAUGAUUCCAGAAAUAGCGCACUUUAGGAACCACGUCUCCUUCUGAUGCUGAGCCGAAGCUGGACUGUACUGCUGUCAUCUCGGCUCACUGCAACCUCCCUGCCUGAUUCUCCUGCCUCAGCCUGCCGAGUGCCUGCGAUUGCAGGCGCGCGCCACCACGCCUGACUGGUUUUUGUAUUUUUUUGGUGGAGACGGGGUUUCGCUGUGUUGGCCAGGAUGGUCUCCAGUUCCUAACCGCGAGUGAUCCGCCAGCCUCGGCCUCCCGAGGUGCCGGGAUUGCAGACGGAGUCUCAUUCACUCAGUGCUCAAUGGUGCCCAGGCUGGAGUGCAGUGGCGUGAUCUCGGCUCGCUACAACCUCCACCUCCCAGCAGCCUGCCUUGGCCUCCCAAAGUGCCGAGAUUGCAGCCUCUGCCUGGCCGCCACCCUGUCUGGGAAGUGAUGACCGUCUCCGCCUGGCAACCCAUCAUCUGGGAUGUGAGGAGCCCCUCUGCCCGGCUGCCCAGUCUGGGAAGUGAGGAGCACCUCUUCCCGGCCGCCAUCCCGUCUAGGAAGUGAGGAGCGUCUCUGCCCGGCCGCCCAUCGUCUGAGAUGUGGGGAGCGCCUCUGCCCAGCCACGACCCCGUCUGGGAGGUGAGGAGCGUCUCUGCCCGGCCGCCCCGUCUGAGAAGUGAGGAGCCUCUCCGCCCAGCAGCCACCCCAUCCGAGAAGUGAGGAGCCCCUCCGCCCAGCAGCCGCCCCGUCUGAGAAGUGAGGAGCCCCUCCGCCCAGCAGCCGCCCCGUCUGAGAAGUGAGGAGCCCCUCUGCCCGGCAGCCGCCCAGUCUGGGAAGUGAGGAGCGUCUCCGCCCGGCAGCCACCCCGUCUGGGAGGGAGGUGGGGGGUCAGCCCCGGCCCAGCCAGCCGCCCUGUCAGGGAGGGAGGUGGGGGUUCAGCCCCCGCCCGGCCAGCCGCCCCAUCCGGGAGGGAGGUCAGCCCCCGCCCGGCCAGCCGACCCGUCUGGGAGGUGGGAGUCGCCUCCGCCCAGCCACCGCCCCGUCCGGGAUGUGGGGGGUGCCUCUGCCCAGCCACCCCUUCUGGGAAGUGAGGAGCCCCUCUGCCCGGCCACCACCCCAUCUGGGAGGUGUACCCAACAGCUCAUUGAGAAUAGGCCAUGAUGACGAUGGUGGUUUUGUGGAAUAGAAAAGGGGGAAAGGUGGGGAAAAGAUAGAGAAAUCAGAUUGUUGCUGUGUCUGUGUAGAAAGAAGUAGACAUGGGAGACUUCAUUUUGUUCUGUACUGGGAGGGGUUCUUCUGCCUUGGGAUGCUGUUGAUCUGUGACCUUGCCUCCAGCCCUGUGCUCUCUGGGGCAGGUGCUGUGUCCACUCAGGGUUAAAUGGAUUAAGGGUGGUGCAAGAUGUGCUUUGUUAAACAGAUGCUUGAAGGCAGCAUGCUCAUUAAGAGUCAUCACCACUCCCUAAUCUCAAGUACCCAGGGACACAAACACUACGGAAAGGCCGCAGGGUCCUCUGCCUAGGAAAACCAGAGACCUUUGUUCACUUGUUUAUCUGCUGACCUUCCCUCCACUAUUGUCCUAUGACCCUGCCAAAUCCCCCUCUGUGAGAAACACCCAAGAAUGAUCAAUUAAAAAGAAAAAAACUGAGGACUA